rnacentral:rRNA from 1 species
UCAGGCCUAACACAUGCAAGUCGAACGGCAGCAUGGAAGAGCUUGCUCUUCUGAUGGCGAGUGGCGAACGGGUGAGUAAAGCAUCGGAACGUACCGUGUAAUGGGGGAUAACGUAGCGAAAGUUACGCUAAUACCGCAUACGACCUGAGGGUGAAAGCAGGGGAUCGCAAGACCUUGCGUUAUACGAGCGGCCGAUGUCAGAUUAGCUAGUUGGUAGGGUAAAGGCCUACCAAGGCGACGAUCUGUAGCGGGUCUGAGAGGAUGAUCCGCCACACUGGGA